rnacentral:tRNA from 1 species
GCCAGAGUGGCGGAAUUGGCAGACGCACUGGAUUCAAAAUCCAGCGAGGUUCACCCCUUGUGCGGGUUCGACUCCCGCCUCUGGCA